GACGAACGCUGUCGGCGUGCUUAACACAUGCAAGUCGAACGGAAAGGCCCUGCUUUUGUGGGGUGCUCGAGUGGCGAACGGGUGAGUAACACGUGAGUAACCUGCCCUUGACUUUGGGAUAACUUCAGGAAACUGGGGCUAAUACCGGAUAGGAGCUCCUGCUGCAUGGUGGGGGUUGGAAAGUUUCGGCGGUUGGGGAUGGACUCGCGGCUUAUCAGCUUGUUGGUGGGGUAGUGGCUUACCAAGGCUUUGACGGGUAGCCGGCCUGAGAGGGUGACCGGCCACAUUGGGACUGAGAUACGGCCCAGACUCCUACGGGAGGCAGCAGUGGGGAAUAUUGCACAAUGGGCGGAAGCCUGAUGCAGCAACGCCGCGUGCGGGAUGACGGCCUUCGGGUUGUAAACCGCUUUCGCCUGUGACGAAGCGUAAGUGACGGUAAUGGGUAAAGAAGCACCGGCUAACUACGUG
rnacentral:rRNA from 1 species